GGAACCAGAUCUUGAUCUGGCGCUCGGACAGGCAGAGUGCGUGGGCGAUCUCGAUGCGCCGUCGCCGGGUCAGGUUGCUUGUCUGGAGAUGGAGCCACUACAGGCGGGCCUGGGCGCCUGGAGUCGGGCAUGAAAGAAAAUAGCGCCUCAUCGCUCUUAUCUAAGCCCAGAGGUAGACUUCGCUUGAAAAGAUCGAGAAUGGAGGAGGGGAUCGGCACUCACUUGCAGACAUCAACAGUUUCCAGAAAAUUCGGUUCAAUUCCUUCACCACGGACCCACCAACCAAGGAGCUGGCAAAACCCACUAACCAACCAGGAGAACACAGACCCGGUUUGUCUUUUGACAACCGAGUGGAACUGACGGGGCCGGCGCCUGCCCUGCGGGUCCCCUCCCUUGGCUGAGAAGAAAACCAAAUAAACCUUGAACAGCCUUGGCUUCGAAAAAAAAAAAAA
rnacentral:lncRNA from 1 species